rnacentral:rRNA from 1 species
GUAGGUGGCAAGCGUUGUCCGGAAUUAUUGGGGCGUAAAGCGCGCGCAGGCGGUUCUUUAAGUCUGAUGUGAGAGCCCACGGGCUCAACCGUGGGAGGGUCAUUGGAAACUGGAGAACUUGAGUACAGAAGAGGAAAGCGGAAUUCCACGUGUAGCGGUGAGAUGCGUAGAGAUGUGGAGGAACACCAGUGGCGAAGGCGGCUUUCUGGUCUGUAACUGACGCUGAGGCGCGAAAGCGUGGGGAGCAAACAGGAUUAGAUACCCUGGUAGUCCACGCCGUAAACGAUGAGUGCUAAGUGCUAGGGGGUUUCCGCCCCUUAGUGCUGCAGCUAACGCAUUAAGCACUCCGCCUGGGGAGUACGGCCGCAAAGGCUG